UUGAUGGCCGUAAACAUUGUGAGUAGCACUUGAAACGGCCCUUCCCAUUGUGGUUCCAACGUCUUUUCUUGGUCCUGAUUCCAAUGGUCCUUGUCUGCUCCCGCAGUGGACAGCUGGGAGCGGAGUUCCUCCGAGAAGAGCUCGGGGUGCACCUAGGACGUCCACCCUCCAGCAGU